rnacentral:rRNA from 1 species
GACGAACGCUGGUGGCGUGCCUAAUACAUGCAAGUCGAACGAAGUUGUUUUAACUGGUGCUUGCACCGACUUAAACAACUGAGUGGCGAACGGGUGAGUAACACGUGGGUAACCUGCCCCAAAGUGGGGGGAUAAACAUUUUGGAAAACAGAUGCUAAUACCGCAUAACCACAGAAACCUCAUGGUUUCUGUGUCAAAGAUGGUUUCGGCUAUCACUUUGGGAUGGAUCCGCGGCGUAUUAG